UGAGGAAUAUUGGUCAAUGGGCGGAAGCCUGAACCAGCCAUGCCGCGUGAAGGAAGAAGGUCCUAUGGAUUUUAAACUUCUUUUGUCGGAGAGCAAUAAGGGUCUCGCGAGAUCCGAUGAGAGUAUCCGACGAAUAAGCAUCGGCUAACUCCGUGCCAGCAGCCGCGGUAAUACGGAGGAUGCAAGCGUUAUCCGGAUUCAUUGGGUUUAAAGGGUGCGUAGGCGGCUUGGUAAGUCAGCGGUGAAAUUCCAGUGCUCAACAUUGGCCGUGCCGUUGAUACUGCUGGGCUUGAAUGCGGAUGCCGUGGGAGGAAUGUGUGGUGUAGCGGUGAAAUGCAUAGAUAUCACACAGAACACCGAUUGCGAAGGCAUCUCACGAAUCCGCAAUUGACGCUGAGGCACGAAAGUGUGGGGAUCAAACAGGAUUAGAUACCCUGGUAGU
rnacentral:rRNA from 1 species